rnacentral:rRNA from 1 species
AAUAGAUACCCGGGUAGUCCACGCUGUAAACGUUGGACACUAGGUGUGGCGGUCUGAUCAACGACUGCCGUGCCGAAGCUAACGCAUUAAGUGUCCCGCCUGGGGAGUACGGCCGCAAGGCUAAAACUCAAAGGAAUUGACGGGUCCCCGCACAAGCGGCGGAGCAUGCGGCUUAAUUCGAUGCAACCCGAAGAACCUUACCUGGGUUUGACAUCAUGGGAAAAGCCGUGGAAACACGGUGUCCGAAAGGGCCCAUGACAGGUGGUGCAUGGCUGUCGUCAGCUCGUGUCGUGAGAUGUUGGGUUAAGUCCCGCAACGAGCGCAACCCUUGUCCUAUGUUGCCAGCGGUUCGGCCGGGGACUCAUAGGAGACUGCCGGGGAUAACUCGGAGGAAGGUGAGGACGAUGUCAAGUCAUCAUGCCCCUUAUAUCCAGGGCUGCACGCGUGCUACAAUGGUCGGUACAACGGGCAGCGAUCCUGCGAAGGUGAGCGAAUCCCACAAAGCCGGCCUCAGUUCGGAUUGGAGUCUGCAACG